GGCAGCCGCGGUAAUUCCAGCUCCAAUAGCGUAUAUUAAAGUUGUUGCAGUUAAAAAGCUCGUAGUUGAAUUUCGGGAUCAGUUGAUCGGUCGUGCCUCGGUACGUACUGGUCAAAUUGAUUCCUACCUUCUGACGAACCACGAUGUCAUUAAUUUGGUGUCGUGGGAAAUCAGGACUGUUACUUUGAAAAAAUUAGAGUGUUUAAAGCAGGCUCGCGCUUGAAUACAUUAGCAUGGAAUAAUGAAAUAGGACGUUUGAUUCUAUUUUGUUGGUUUCUAGGAUCGACGUAAUGAUUAAUAGGGAUAGUUGGGGGCAUUAGUAUUCAAUUGUCAGAGGUGAAAUUCUUGGAUUUAUUGAAGACUAACUACUGCGAAAGCAUUUGCCAAGGAUGUUUUCAUUAAUCAAGAACGAAAGUUAGGGGAUCGAAGACGAUCAGAUACCGUCGUAGUCUUAAACCAUAAACCUAUGCCGACUAGGGAUCGGAUGAUGUUAAUUUUUAAUGACUCAUUCGCGUCCUUA
rnacentral:misc_RNA from 1 species